UACGUAGGGUGCAAGCGUUGUCCGGAAUUAUUGGGCGUAAAGAGCGCGCAGGCGGUCGUGCAAGUCGCGUGUGAAAGCCCCCCGGCUCAACUGGGGAGGGUCACGCGAUACUGCUCGACUCGAAGGCAGGAGAGGGAAGUGGAAUUCCCGGUGUAGUGGUGAAAUGCGUAGAUAUCGGGAGGAACACCAGUGGCGAAGGCGGGUCUCUGGGCAACAACUGACGCUGAGGAGCGAAAGCGUGGGGGAGCGAACAGG
rnacentral:rRNA from 1 species